UACGUAGGGGGCAAGCGUUGUCCGGAUUUAUUGGGCGUAAAGAGCGUGUAGGCGGCCAGGUAGGUCAGCUGUGAAAACUCGAGGCUUAACCUCGAGACGCCGGCUGAAACCCUCUGGCUAGAGUCCGGAAGAGGAGAGCGGAAUUCCUGGUGUAGCGGUGAAAUGCGCAGAUAUCAGGAGGAACACCAAUGGCGAAGGCAGCUCGCUGGGACGGUACUGACGCUGAGACGCGAAAGCGUGGGGAGCAAACAGG
rnacentral:rRNA from 1 species